GCAGGGCCUUCAGCCAUUGACCGAGAGCAGGACAGAGCACCCGGGCGAGCUCUGCCGGGCAACCCUAGCCCGAUUCUCAGCCGCCGCUGCCCAGAGCCUCUCAGCCUCAGGCCCCUCCCCGGCACUGCCUUUCCUGGACCCGCUUCUUCCUGGAAAAUCAAGAUUGAGCUGAGCUGGAGAGUGUGCCUGGCAAAACCUGAGCCCCAAGCAUUUCUGCCCUGAUUGGAUCCUUGUCACUAACCAAGCUUAUUCCAAGCUUGGGACCUUUACACCGUCCUCUGCCUGGAAUCCCCAAGAUGGAUGCACAGCUGGCUCCUUCCAAUCAUCGUUCCAGUCUCACUUCAUGCGUCACCUCAGGGAGGUGACCUGAUCACCAUCAUUGUAGGUCCUUCUGGUUGUGCUAUGCAGGACGCUGCC